GGCUAUCAAUGGUUCUAAAGUUUGAGGUUGUGUUUCUUUUUGAUGAACUUCAACUUUUAUUUACAGGUAGUGGGAAGAAGUAGCUGGAAGUAGAAUGCAGCCAAUGAUUGGAUCAAAGUGCUCAUGACAAUGUGUUUUUGACUUUUUAGCUAUAGAUAAAAACUUGGGUUGGACUUACUAGAGGUGGAUCAUUUUGUAAAGAGUGGAAGUGAACUAUGAGACCUGGGUUGUGGAAUCGAAUACCUCUUGCAUUUUGGCUAAGCUUAUUUUACCUUAGCUUUUCGAUGCCAUGAAAUGUAUGUAAAUGGCAUGACACAUUGUGAUGGCUUUAAUAUAACUUGUGUGCUUUAUUUGGUCUAGUUUACAUGUGUUUCAUGACUGUGUAUUAUAUUGUUUGAAUGUAUGACAUGGCACUAUUGAUUGU
rnacentral:lncRNA from 1 species